UGAGUGGAAAACUGUCUACAUCUAAAUCUUUAAAUCACCCAGGCUUUUAGUAAUGAAGGCAUCUCACUUUUCCAUUCACAGAGACUUGAAAUGGAGGAGUGGAGAUUUGUUUGUUUGUUUGUUUGUUAUCAAGUGCAGGUGCAUUGUCAAUGGGACUUGUGGAAUUAUACUUCCGUAUGAGAAAAAUAAGUUAUUCAGACACCUUUGCACUGUUCUCCAGCUCAGUGAUGGCACAAAUUAACUAAUCUAGAUUCCUAAUUUCUGCAGCUGAGAUUUCUAAGAUUUGAGCUGAGGCAGUGAACGUGUGCACCUGAGUGUGUGUGUCAACUGGAUGCUGAGAUGUGUUAGGAACUACAGGAGAUGAAUAGAAGAGCACUUUUCUGAUGCGCUGGUGAGAAGAAAAUUUGUACUUAGGUUGUUUUGGAGCAUUUGCAAAGCACUGACUAACAGCUGAAGUUAAGAACUGUAUGUAUCAGGGCUGGGUUGUAUCCUGCAGAGAACUGUUUGUGGGAAGAUGUGACUGCAUGCAGUGCAGCUGUUGGGUAUCAAGCUGCUGCUGGAGCUCUUCAGAGCUGUCCUCACAAACACAACCUGUGAAAGGUCUGUGUGAUCCUUUCUUUGUGGGAAUGUUGCAGGUGUGUAAGCAGAGAAAAGCAAAACCAACUCAGUUUAAACUUAAAUAAAACGUGCUCAACAAUUUGUUUCCCCUCUGCUGGAAACUUAAUAUAAAUUGGGAUAUCAGCUUAACCUGGCUUUUGGACAGUGUUUUGGGUUUAAGGCUUUUUAAAUACAGUGGAAAUUAAACACUUUUUUCAGCAAGUGAAAUCCAAUGUGUGAGUGAGAUUUGAUAAGAAAGUGGACAAGCAGCUGCUUAUCAUAUCUGAGCCACUGCUGCCCCUGUUUGCAGGAAGCCCUGACUGCUUAUAAGGAACCAAACCUUCAUCUGCUUGACAGUGGGUAGAUUUUGAAACAGCAUCGGUGAUCAAAACUGUGGCAUGUUGCAGGGUGAAACUUCCUUCCUCUCCUCUCUGUAGUUCAGUCUGCGUUGGUGUCUUCUGCUAUGGUACAAAUAGAGGUGAAAAGGCAGGGGUUUUUCUUCUCUUGCUGAGUGUUGGAGUUGUGAAGCUAUAGAGAAGCCCAGGGUUGCUUGAUGGCUUCAGUAACAGAUGCCAGAUACAGGCAGAAAGAUACCUCGGAUCAGAAUUUUGAUUACAUGUUCAAACUCCUGAUCAUUGGCAACAGCAGUGUGGGUAAAACAUCCUUCCUCUUCAGAUAUGCUGAUGACACUUUCACGCCAGCCUUUGUCAGCACAGUAGGAAUUGACUUCAAAGUGAAAACAGUUUAUAGGAAUGAUAAACGGGUGAAACUGCAGAUUUGGGUAAGUGCCAGUAUUUUCAACAGUAUUUUAUUACUAAACCCAGUAAAGAUAUGACAAAACUAGCUUGCUUGGAGAUUAGACUGUUGUU